rnacentral:rRNA from 1 species
UACGAAGGGGGCUAGCGUUGCUCGGAAUCACUGGGCGUAAAGGGUGCGUAGGCGGGUCUUUAAGUCAGGGGUGAAAUCCUGGAGCUCAACUCCAGAACUGCCUUUGAUACUGACGACCUUGAGUUCGGGAGAGGUGAGUGGAACUGCGAGUGUAGAGGUGAAAUUCGUAGAUAUUCGCAAGAACACCAGUGGCGAAGGCGGCUCACUGGCCCGAUACUGACGCUGAGGCACGAAAGCGUGGGGAGCAACAGG